AAAAAAAAAAAACCCACCCAGUCUAUGGUAUUUUGUUAUGGAACCCCAAGCUAAGACACCAUCACAGAAAAUGGUCACUCAAUCCUCCCAGCCAGCCAUCAGUGGCUCAAUCUAAUACUCAGGUUCUCAAUCAAAGUGCUCCAAGCUCUGGUUUGCGGCGGUACAGCACGGUGGUUCAUUCACAGCCUCUGAAGCUGGCGAUCUAGGACCCUGGACAAGCUACACACCUGCUUCUUCAUCUGGAAAAUGGGGGAAGUAGCAGUUCCUACCUCAAAGCAUUGUUGGGAAGAUUAAAUGAUGAUGAUACAUAAAGAAUAUAGCCCUGCCAGCCCAGCUCUCUGGAGGUAGAAAAUCUGCCCUAUGCAGGCUGCACACAGACUCAGGGAGCCAAGGGCUGCCGGGGGCAUUUGGCCAUCAUUGCCUCUUCCCCAACCCAAGGUUCUGCAGGCAAGUGCCAGCUCCUGUCUGUGGAGCCUUGGCCCAUGGAAAGGCAGAGAGAAUGGCUCUCAUGUCCCUAUCUGAGGGUCCCAAAGGGCUUCCAUGAGGGAGCUGAGCCUCCAAAAUCAUUAAUUCGGAAAAGCCACACAUGAAAAGGAACCUGCUUUUGCAGGGGGCAAAAGAAGUGUGUUGGUUAGCAUGCUGUUCUGGGAGGUUCUUUAGGUGCACCCUGCUUAUUAAGCCUGAUCCUGGGCUUCUGGAACCUGCGACUCACCCCGUUACCAUGGCGUCUGCUGAGCAGCACCUGGCAGUGGUGCCUCUCAUCUCGGCAAAGUGGCUAUGACUCCUGGCUACUUUUUCCCUAGCCAGGGUGAGGAGGAGAGAGAGGAGGGUGCCAGGCAUCUCAUCUGCUCAAUGCUAGAAAGGAAAUUAAAAUAUUGCAGAGAAAUCGCAGAAUUCGUGCAUGCACUGCUUUUCAUUUUUCAAAGAGCUUUUGUGGGCAUUAUGUCACUUGAGCCACCUAAGAACCCUGGGACAGAAGGGAUGACCAGGAAUGUUUUAUUUGCCCAUGUUAUGCAUGAGGAGAUCAAGAACGUGGAGAGGUUAACCCUUCUCACCCGCAGUCAAGGUGAGUGACAACGGGAGGAGCAUAGCACAAAGAAAGCUCCAGAAAAACAAGAAGGAGACCUGGCUUGCGGUUUGGGCUCUAUCACCACCUGCCUGCAUGACCUCUGGCAAGAGCCUUAUCUAUGCUUCAACUUUCUUGUCUGCAAACUGAGGAGCAGGAGACCUACAGCACCAAGCCCACAGGACUACCAUGAGACAAGGCUAAGUGGCUGGAAACAUGUGACAGGCUCUCUAAAUGCCUGGCUCCAGAGAAAGAAUUUUCACAUUGGGUGGGGCAGCUGGUGAAACAAGAGAGGCAACACGUAUUCACUGAAGACUUGUAGGCAGCAAGAGGGAAGCAAGCGAAGACAGUGACACGAAAUAGAUGAUCUGGUGCAAAAUCACCAUUGGCUUAUUAUAGACGUGAUGAGUGAAGAUGGAUCGGGACUCUGUCUUGUGUCAGCAGAGUCCUAGGCCUCGGGGAUUCAGUUGUGAGGAUGACUCUCUCUGCCCUCUUGGAACUACCUAGGAUCGGUCCUGCAGGGAGUGUGUUGUGUUGAUCUUCAGCUUCUAACCUCUGGGGAGGGACGCAGCCCCUCCUGGUCCACCUAAAGUCAUCUUUAAUACUGCCCACCGACUCUCCACACUGUGCAGCUCGACUAAGGCAACCUCCAGAGUCCUAAUUCCCUGUCAUAGGUGAUUGAGAACUAGGAAAACCUCCUCUCCAGGGCAAGGCCAAACCUACUCAAAGGAUCCCGGGCUGGGGGAUUUGCAGGCUGUGUAGGAGCACGCUGACAGAACCCUGGUGAGAAUACAAGUCAGUAACUCUGGCCACUGUUGAAAAGAAAUACUUGUACUUAGCGAGGGCACCGUUCUGUGACAGAUGUUUACAAUGAUGACACUGCAUCAUUUAACAAAGGUUAAAUCAUGUUCAUUAGACUCUGUUUAAGAAGACAUGGCCAUGUGUCAUGUUUUAGAAAGACUGCCAUUACAAAUGAUUCAAAUAAGAAGUUUGAGUACAUGAAUGAGCCAGUCAGCUAUCCAGAAGAUGAGCUUAGAAAGAACAGCUCAUCCCCAAGUGCGGCUUUACUGCAUUGCCAUUUUUAAUUUUAAAAACCUACGUAAAUUUUAGCCGGGCGCAGUGGCUCAUGC
rnacentral:lncRNA from 1 species